rnacentral:rRNA from 1 species
GAUGAACGCUGGCGGCGUGCCUAAUACAUGCAAGUCGAGCGAACGGACGAGAAGCUUGCUUCUCUGAUGUUAGCGGCGGACGGGUGAGUAACACGUGGAUAACCUACCUAUAAGACUGGGAUAACUUCGGGAAACCGUAGCUAAUACCGGAUAAUAUUUUGAACCGCAUGGUUCAAAAGUGAAAGACGGUCUUGCUGUCACUAAAGAAUGGACCCGCGCUGCAUUAGCUAGUUGGUAAGGUAACGGCUUACCAAGGCAACGAUGCAUAGCCGACCUGAGAGGGUGAUCGGCCACACUGGAACUGAGACACGGUCCAGACUCCUACGGGAGGCAGCAGUAGGGAAUCUUCCGCAAUGGGCGAAAGCCUGACGGAGCAACGCCGCGUGAGUGAUGAAGGUCUUCGGAUCGUAAAACUCUGUUAUUAGGGAAGAACAUAUGUGUAAGUAACUGUGCACAUCUUGACGGUACCUAAUCAGAAAGCCACGGCUAACUACGUG